UAAAACGACUCUCGGCAACGGAUAUCUCGGCUCUCGCAUCGAUGAAGAACGUAGCGAAAUGCGAUACUUGGUGUGAAUUGCAGAAUCCCGUGAACCAUCGAGUCUUUGAACGCAAGUUGCGCCCCAAGCCUUCUGGCCGAGGGCACGUCUGCCUGGGUGUCACA
rnacentral:rRNA from 12 species